UACGUAGGGUGCGAGCGUUGUCCGGAAUUAUUGGGCGUAAAGAGCUUGUAGGCGGUUUGUCGCGUCUGCCGUGAAAAUCCGGGGCUCAACCCCGGACUUGCGGUGGGUACGGGCAGACUAGAGUGUGGUAGGGGAGACUGGAAUUCCUGGUGUAGCGGUGAAAUGCGUAGAUAUCGGGAGGAACACCAGUGGCGAAGGCGAUCACCUGGGGUUGUUCUGACGCUGAGGAGCGAAAGCUAGGGGAGCAAACGGG
rnacentral:rRNA from 1 species